rnacentral:lncRNA from 1 species
AAACAAAUAUAUGUAGGACUCUAAAGUGCGAUGGGGACGCUAAAGUACGAUGGUUACGCUAAAGUGCGAUGGUCCGCGAACGUAUAUACGUAAUAAACGUACUAUGGAUUAUGAUGUGGACAGUCUUUUAUACAAACAAAAAAUUGAACAUGCCGAAAGAAAAAUGUAGAAUAUUUGAUUAACCACUUUAAACCAAUUGCGAAAAAGGUGAAAGCUCGGAGAACAUUGCAUUUCUCUCUCAUUUAAAUUAAGAAUGUUUUAAACAAAUAAAUGUUUCACAAUGAAGGAUUUGUAUUUGUAAUUUACAAUGACAACUUCAAGGGGAGAUUUGACAUUAGUGAUAGACUGUGUGAACGGCAAGUUACGCCACUUAUCCAAAUAUUUGAUACGCCCGAAUUAAAUAUUUUUUUAUCAUAUACAGGAUAUAUAGGUUUUUGUCACACCUAAACUACCAUUUCAGCAAUUAUUAUGUGGUCGUUCUUCUUAAUUUAGAAAAAAAUAGUUAUGCCUACCGGUAAUUAUAAAGCCUAUCACAUAUGUUAUAAAACCUUAUCAUACUAGCUUUUGCAAAAAGGCUAUUUAUCAUUAUAUCCGUAUUCUUUAAAGCUUUUAGCCCUUUAACCUUACCCUUCUGGUCCAUCGCACUUUAGCGUGAUAAACAAUCGUACUUUAGC